CAGAAUAGAACGUAGAACAUUUAUUUAUGUGAUGACGACAGUUUUCUCAUGAAUUGAAAAGAUGAAAUGCUUAAUGAAGAAAUUUUUGAUUGGUGUUUAACGUCAAAGUAAUUGCUCUUAAUCUACCUCUUACAAUAAAUCUUCAGCUCUGCUGCUAUGAAAACAAUUAGAAACAAAUAUAGUUUGAUUAUGUGAUAAUAUCAGAAAGUUAAAGAAAUAAUGCAAAAAUAAAAAAUUGCAUUUGUUAUUAGGUGAAGCCUUAAUUCUAUCUCUGGCAAAUAUUCAUUAUAAUAAAUUAACUACCUCAAUGAAAACAAUAUCAGUAAUCUUUUAAGUUUUGAAGAAGUUACAACAUAAUAUACUAUAACCAAUAUUUUGAAAAGAAGAGAACCAAGAAAUUUAUAAGUUAGUUUAUAUGUUAGAUGAUGAGGAAGUAAUAACUUUUGAAGAUGGAAGAUAAUGUGAUAACAUUCGGGAAAGCAUUUUGAAGAUGGAAGAUGUGAUAACAUUCGGGAAAGCAUUUUGAAGAUGGAAGAUAAUGAGAUAACAUUCGGGAAAGCAUUUUUAAAGCAUGACUAGUGUCAACAAUAUCAUUAAAGUGUAAUUUCUAAAGUACUAAAUUUGCUGUAAAAUGCAGGUUAAUACAGGAAGCUGCAAAUUGAGGUCAGUUUUAAGCUGGUGAAGCAAUACUCAAAAAGAAAACUAACAGAUAAAAAAAUCUCAUGUUGGCAAUCGUUUGCAUGGUAAUGAUACUUUGAAAUACCAUAAGUAUCAAAACUUUUAAAUUGCAACAAAAAGUAGGAAAAUAUAAUCUUUUGGUUUGUCAAAAGUGGUUGGUGGUGAUGCAGCUACUAUCUUGCAGAACUUUACUAAUGUAAUAUAUAAUAUUUGUAACAUUGUAAGCAACUCUGCCAUGGAAAAUGAACUAAAUUUUGCUUAGUUAAUUACAUCAAUUAAAUCGACAAUGGCUGACCUUGGUUGAGUUAAUGUUCUAUUAAACUCACUAUUAAAAGCAUUAAGUGAAAAACUUCUGCCAAUUGCAAUCAAAAAUUGGGAUAAAUCGUUUGAGAUAAAUCGUUUUAAUGUUUUGUAUUACUACUCUAUGUUAUCACAAGGAUGCUAUAAUAAUGUAAUGUGUGGCCAAACCAAACAACUCAUUAAAGGCUAUAAAGGUAUUGACUAUAAAGAUAUCACAAAUCUUGUAGUUGUUGCUGAAGUUUGCGCAUUAGGAAUCAUUGAAAAACUACUUACAGGUUCUUUGUGUUGAAUUAUUUCAAACAACUAUUUGUAAAGAUGCUUCUUUAUUGCUUGCAUGUGGAAAAAUUUUUGAUUAUACUCAUCUUCUUCAUCAAAAUAAGGUUUACUGCAAAUUGUUUGAAAACAAACAUAAUGAUGAGUUUGAUUCUUUGACUGUGUACUCCCUUGAAGUUAUUUUUCAUGCUAUUCUUGCUAUUUUGGAAUGUCAGUUAUCUGGUGGUAAAUAUUGGAAUCCAUCUGAUUCAGUUGCUGAAACAGCCUCUAAUGACCCUGUUACUAAUAAAGCAUCAGAAAGUGACUUUUCCAUUUUGGAUUUAAUGAUUUGUAAAAAACCAAAUGCAAAUUUCAAACUAUCCAGACUUAACAUACCACAUAUCAUGUUAAGUAUGAUUACGAACAUGAUGAACUAUGGUCAUUUCCAUUAUUAGUUAAUUUUGAAAAAGGCAAGUUUAUUCUUUGUAGCUAGGAUUAUGAGGUGCCCCAAGAAGACUUGACGGUCUUGUCACAGAGCGG